rnacentral:lncRNA from 1 species
ACCGGUAUCACCCCGCCUUGCUACUCCAAAAUUCUCGGGCAGAAUAACUUUACCGGUGGCCCCCGUUAUUAAACCCCUAUUGUUGAAGGAAUUCUUCCUUGAGCCCCCUUUAAAACGACGGAGAUCCUCACCGACCGCCGUUCUCCUCCUCGCCUUCCUCCAAGCCCUAGACAUCCCUUCAAGAAUGGCCUCCGGGGUAGAGGACAUGGUGUGGGAACCCUCAGAGAAGAAUUGGGGGGCUGAAGAAGGUAAGGACUGGUGCGAGGGAAGUAGCUGAGUAGCUAGGCUCUC